rnacentral:tRNA from 1 species
UGGGAUGUAGCGCAGCCUGAAGCUCACUUAACUGGGGGUGAAGUGGUCGUCGGUUCAAAUCCGGCCAUCCCGACCA